AGCGAACGCUGGCGGCAGGCCUAACACAUGCAAGUCGAACGAACCUUUCGGGGUUAGUGGCGGACGGGUGAGUAACACGUGGGAACGUGCCUUUAGGUUCGGAAUAACUCAGGGAAACUUGUGCUAAUACCGCAUGUGCCCUUCGGGGGAAAGAUUAAUCGCCGUUAGAGCGGCCCGCGUCUGAUUAGCUAGUUGGCUGAGGUAAUGGCUCACCAAGGCGACGCUCAGUAGCUGGUCUGAGAGGAUGGUCAGCCACAUUGGGACUGAGACACGGCCCGAACUCCUACGGGAGGCAGCAGUGGGGAAUCUUGCGCAAUGGGCGAAAGCCUGACGCAGCCAUGCCGCGUGAAUGAUGAAGGUCUUAGGAUUGUAAAAUUCUUUCACCGGGGACGAUAAUGACGGUACCCGGAGAAGAAGCCCCGGCUAACUUCGUG
rnacentral:rRNA from 1 species